CAAGGUAAUUUCCUGUGUCAUUUGUCGAAAGAACUCCACUGAAGACUCAAGAAGCAAGGUUUAGGCUCGAACAUGUGGACCUUUUUGUUGCUCACGCUGGCCUUUUCUGCCACAGGAAUGACGGAAGAAAAUGUCACAGAUACAGCUAUUGAAGAGAGACCUGUAAUAGCCAAGGGCAUACUAAAGGCUCCAAGUGUAGUUGGGUGAGCCAUCAAGAAGAUGCCUGAGCUCUAUAUGUUCCUUAUGGAGCGAUGGGCAUUGUAUCACAACCUGGAAUAUGAUUCAGGAGAGGAGAAGAAUCCACGUCUGAUCUUCUAUGAUGAUAAGGAUGAGGUUGUUCAGACUGUCCCUGUGAAGAAGAUGAAGGUGGAUGAGAUCAGUAGCCUGCUGGACUCUCUGGGUUUCUACAAGAGAUCUCAGAAGGGAGAGGAGGUGCCAAAGGAGUUUCAACACUUUCCCCUGAGAGCCCCCAGGGACGAGUUGUGAGCACAAUAAGAUCUGGUGGCCAGACUCUGUCACUGUAUCCAGUCACAGAUGAUGAGAGGGGUCCCAAGGCCACAACAUGAGCCAGGCCCUAAUUUGAGAACAAACGACUCGGUGCAGCUAUGCAGAGCAGAGCCUACCACACUGUCUCUUUUAAAAUAUACAUUUGUCAAUAAAAUUUUAAACAAGUUACGUAGAAUGUGUCUCAUGCUGACUCUGUGGUAUAAUAUGCUGUCUGUCUUCCAUCCAAAUAAAACGCUGUACAGUAGAGUUUCAGCAGGUAAUGACAGCAGUUAGCGUACCAAAAAGGUAAUGUUGACUUCAAAGAUUACCUUCAUUAAUCCUGAACCUAUUACAGGGUACUGUUUCAUUGGUUUUAUGUAUACUGAACAAAAAUAUAAACGCAACAUGUAAAAUGUUGGUCCCAUGAUUCAUGAGCUGAAAUAAAAGAUCCCUGAAAUGUUCCAUAUGCACAAAAAAAACGUAUUGCUCUCAAAUGUGUUAACACCCUUGUUAGCGAGCAUGACUUCUUUUCCAAGAUAAUCCAUCCACCUGAUAAGUGUGCCAUAUCAAGAAGCUGAUUAAACAACAUGAUCAUUACACAGAUGCACCUUGUGCUGGGGACAAUAAAAUGCCACUCUAAAACGUGAAGUUUUGUCACACAACACAAUGCCACAGAUGUCUCAAGUUUUGAGGGAGCAUGCAAUUGGCAUGCUGACUUCAGGAAUGUCCACCAGAGCUAUUUCCAGAGAAUUUAAUGUUCAUUUCUUUAGCAAAAGCCGCCUCCAACAUUGUUUUAGAGAAUUUAGCAGUACGUCCAACCAGCCUCACAACCGCAGACCAUGUUUAACCACGCCAUCCAAGUCCUCCAUGUCUGGCUUCUUCAUCUGUAACUUACUAAAAUCAUAGAAAUUGUUGCAUGUUGCAUUUUUAUUUUUGUUCAGUAUAUUUUCAGUUUUUUCCUUAUUAAUUUUUUUAUUUGUCAUCUAAAAACCACUGAUUGCCAUCAUACUUUCUCCUCCCACAUAUUAAACCCUGAUAAUAACGUAGUGAAUACAGAGACAGAGACACGCUCCUAGGUCUGUCAAGGGUGCUAAUCCCCUGUCUUCCUCCUCCCACCACUCCGAUAAUCUGAUUAGCAGACGCUGCUGUCUGGUUAACUGACUAAUCCCUGUAGUCCUCAAUCAGGAACACACACACACUCUGUCUUCUGUUUCUAUACACCAAUUUAUUUUCUAUUAGCUUAAGAAUAGCAUACAUUUUUCUGGACACACACAGAGUGGUAGCGGUACAUGGUUGUAUUGGGCCACAAUGCCUGUGUUCUACUCCCCCAUACCCCAGAACCUCCGGAUGGGCCUGGCCUCUGUCGGUGGAUCCGUGUUCACUAACAACAGGACAGGGGACUUUAGCAGUGACUACAACAAGGACCAGGAUGAUAAAACAGUUGUAUUACCUGCCUGGGUACUACCAGGCUCUACUUGUGACUGGAGUGGUUCUGCUUACCAUCUGUGAAAUCACCAGGCUCUAUCUGGGCUAUAUCGGAAACCUCAAAGAGAAGGUGCCAGAGCUGGCUGGGUUCUGGCUGAUAUCCUUCCUGUUCCAGCUGCCCAUUCUACUCUUCUUCCUGACUGACGAGGACAUCAUCAUCCUCCCUCUGGAGAGGGCCGUCCACUCCAUCUACCUCCUCUUCAUCCUCUCAGAGCUCCUGGCUUCCUUCUUCGCCCUCAGGGCCAUGACCAGGAAGUUAACCCUGCUGUUCCACCUCAGGCAGUUUGGGGAGGUGGAAAACCUUCAUCACCUCCACCAUCACCACCUCCACAUAGCGGGAAAGAGCCCAGCCUUCGGCAUGCCAUAUUAUGGGAGGACUGUUCUACCCAUGCCACCACACACCAAUAACGUUCACAGUCACUGAUAGAGCACAGAGAGACAACCAGGAACACUUUGACUGGGAUGGAUGGGACUGGGAGAUGGGGUAUGAUCUGGAGUUAAAGGCGUAGGGGUGAAUAGUUUAAUGUGGAAGAGAGUUCUUGUGAAUACAGCCUUGAAAUGAUUUUCCAAAGAGGGAGGAAGCUUUUGAAGUGUUCCAUGAUGUUCAAAAUAUAAUGCUGGAUUUUGUGAUCUUUAUGAAAUGAUGAGUUGAUGCACUGUUUUAUAAUUGUUUUGUUUUCAUUUCUAGAUAUAAAACACGUGUAAAAAUAUUAUUGGACACCGGUAGUAGUGAUGGUCAUAACAUAUUAGAACCACAUGGUGGCACUAAAUGGCCAUAAGAGGGGUUAGUAAUAAACUGAAAAGUGUUGCAAAGUC